UCAGAUGCAAAUGAUUUCUUGAUCUAAAGUUCUACGAAUAUGUGUUUCCACCUAUACUAAUGGUUUAAAUCUAGAGAGCUAGUCCUAGGAAACCUAAAUAAAUCAAGUUCAGAGGGAUUGUUGUUGAGAUUACGAAGAUCCUCUGAAAGGUCCUAAUAUGGCUAGAGGGGGGGUGAAUAGCUGUUGACGGUCCUUAAUGCUCACAUUUAACCAUCAACUAAUCAUGGAAAAGGAUCCAAAUGCAACUAACACCUAGACUUAGGGUUUUAUCUGACAGAAUUCCAUGAGUUUUGGUGUUUGUCUAUUUCUGCAGGGG
rnacentral:lncRNA from 1 species